GAUGAACGCUGGCGGCGUGCCUAAUACAUGCAAGUCGAGCGAACAGACGAGGAGCUUGCUCCUCUGACGUUAGCGGCGGACGGGUGAGUAACACGUGGAUAACCUACCUAUAAGACUGGGAUAACUUCGGGAAACCGGAGCUAAUACCGGAUAAUAUAUUGAACCGCAUGGUUCAAUAGUGAAAGACGGUUUUGCGGUCACUUAUAGAUGGAUCCGCGCCGCAUUAGAUAGUUGGUAAGGUAACGGCUUACCAAGGGGACGAUGCGUAAGCGACCUGAGAGGGUGAUAGGCCACACUGGAACUGAGACACGGUCCAGACUCCUACGGGAGGCAGCAGUAGGGAAUCUUCCGCAAAGGGCGAAAGCCUGACGGAGUAACGCCGCGUGAGUGAUGAAGGUCUUCGGAUCGUAAAACUCUGUUAUUAGGGAAGAACAAAUGUGUAAGUAACUAUGCACGUCUUGACGGUACCUAAUCAGAAAGCCACGGCUAACUACGUG
rnacentral:rRNA from 1 species